rnacentral:rRNA from 1 species
AGAGUUUGAUCCUGGCUCAGAGCGAACGCUGGCGGCAGGCUUAACACAUGCAAGUCGAGCGGGCGUAGCAAUACGUCAGCGGCAGACGGGUGAGUAACGCGUGGGAACAUACCUCUUGGNUUCGGAACAACACAGGGAAACUUGUGCUAAUACCGGAUAAGCCCUUACGGGGAAAGAUUUAUCGCCGAGAGAUUGGCCCGCGUCUGAUUAGCUAGUUGGUAGGGUAAUGGCCUACCAAGGCGACGAUCAGUAGCUGGUCUGAGAGGAUGAUCAGCCACAUUGGGACUGAGACACGGCCCAAACUCCUACGGGAGGCAGCAGUGGGGAAUAUUGGACAAUGGGGGCAACCCUGAUCCAGCCAUGCCGCGUGAGUGAUGAAGGCCCUAGGGUUGUAAAGCUCUUUUGUGCGGGAAGAUAAUGACGGUACCGCAAGAAUAAGCCCCGGCUAACUUCGUGCCAGCAGCCGCGGUAAUACGAAGGGGGCUAGCGUUGCUCGGAAUCACUGGGCGUAAAGGGUGCGUAGGCGGGUUUUUAAGUCAGGGGUGAAAUCCUGGAGCUCAACUCCAGAACUGCCUUUGAUACUGAAGAUCUUGAGUCCGGGAGAGGUGAGUGGAACUGCGAGUGUAGAGGUGAAAUUCGUAGAUAUUCGCAAGAACACCAGUGGCGAAGGCGGCUCACUGGCCCGGUACUGACGCUGU